CUACCGGGGUUUCUAAUCCUGUUUGCUCCCCACGCUUUCGCGCCUCAGCGUCAGUCCCGGGCCAGGUGGCCGCCUUCGCCACCGGUGUUCUUCCCAAUAUCUACGAAUUUCACCUCUACACUGGGAAUUCCGCCACCCUCUCCCGGACUCCAGCCCGCCAGUCUCCAGCGCCGUCCCCGGGUUGAGCCCAGGACUUUCACGCCGGACUUGGCGGGCCGCCUACGCGCCCUUUACGCCCAGUAAUUCCGAACAACGCUAGCCCCCUCCGUAUUACCGCGGCUGCUGGCAC
rnacentral:rRNA from 1 species